UUGUCACGCCGACCGUUCCCGAGCGUACCAGGCGCCCGCUGGCACGGACGAAGGUAUUACGAGCGCCAUUUCGCAUGAAGGUCCUUUACUGCAAAUAUUGCGCAAGAGAAAACUCAGAGAAAAUUGCGAGUUUAUACAUGGUGGAUAAAUAACAGCUGUGUUGCCGGUGUACAACUGUCAAGACAAAAUAACGCUGAGGAAGUAGUAAUACCGCUCGAGGCUCUCAUGGCCUUUGACGGCACAAUUCCUUCGUCCGUUUUCGGAAGAACACGACGUUGCUGAAACUCAUAUAUAGUAUUGUAUAGUUACACGUUUCUAAACCAAUUAGCCGUAGUCCUGGUACCGACUUGUACAGCUUUAGUAUAUGUAAGAGAAAACAAGAGGUGAAAGGGUCCGCACGGCUUUGUAGGUCAAUGACAAAAUGGUUAUUUUUGCUGUUAGAACACCCGGGCUCAUCCCUCUACAACAACUCUGUUGUCACGUGUCAAACUCAAAAACGGCCGCAACAAAAAAAGGACCGGAAGGUUAUUCAAAUUUCCGAAAUUCUUUUCCGAGAAAUCAGAUUAAAAUUUCAUUUGAUACAAAUCACAUCUAGUCCGUCAAGUAUUUUUAAAUGACUUUUCAAAAUAAUUUUCAAUGCACGAAAUUUAAAUGUGGUCCGGAACGAACGAAUAAGUUAUUAAUUGCAUGUAACCAAUUAUAAUUAAGAUAAUUUGAAUUGGUCGUUUCUGAAUAAUUAUUUCGCGCUAGUUAUUUUGUCCUAAUUUCAGUUUGUUCAUCCUACAUGUACAACUUCCUUCAGAGCCUUUCAUUCGUCCUUCACGGAGCACGGGAAUAUCUAAUAGCAACAGUCUCGCUAGCUAGUAGCUAAUCAUUUGCAUGAGCUGACUUUCGAAAUUUCCUGUACGCACCGCUCGUGUCCAGUUACUUCCAUCCUCCAGCGGUGUGGUGAAACGGAGAGAAGAAAAAGUCUGUGGUAUAAAAGAACUUGCGCUCACACCAGUCGAAACAUCCGCCACCAUCACCUGUGUCAUAACUAUAUAUCGUCUCCUCGUGAGCUAAACGAUUUUUCUCCAAGUGCCAAAUUAUCCGUCGACAAAUAUAAUGGCUGGUAAUUUUCUAUUUGCGUGGAAUAACAAGCCAGAGAACGGUAUGCCUUUUAAGUCUAUGGCAUCUUCUAAUGAAACUGAGAUUAAAAACAAAUUUACGUCAACUACGUCGGCUGGAUACGUGAAUUUACCUUGGAAUUUACGGGACGGAAGGCGGACCUCGGACUCGGUUCAGGUUUCAAGGUAUUACGGAACUGCUGCGGAUGACAAGUCCGAUGUGUCUACCAAGUUACUGAAGGCUCUCUACUAAAGUUGAUGUUCCUCGGAUUUUCUCCACAAAUCCAAUUAAAUGAUACAAUAAUUUCACUUGUUAAAAAUAGCUAAAUAU